rnacentral:lncRNA from 1 species
GAGGUGAAGAUACGCAGGACGUCCUCUAAAGCAACUUCCGUGGGUGCCAGGUUGUGGGCUGGGGGCGGUGCUGACCUUGAGAGAGCGGAGGAGGCGCAGGCGCAGCACAGUUUAAACUUGAUUUUGUGAGGGGACGAACAGCGUGACAAUUAAAAGAAGAUCUGGGAAUCAAAAGCUUCCUGAGGCCUUCACCAGAAGCAGAUGCUGGUGCCGUGCUUCUACAGCCUGCAGAACUGAAGGACUUUACAGCUUCUCUUUCGCAUAUCCAAAUUGCCAGCAUCACCGCUCUUGCACUCCAAGCCAUUAUUAAGUAAAGUAAAGAACACAAACACUGUGAUACUGCUACACUUGAUCUGAUAACCAAGAAGUCUACUAAGUGACUAACAGAGCAACUGGGAACCUAAUUCUGACCAAAAAGGAGGAAUUGUUUGGCUAAUUGGAAGUGACAGAAACCUUGGGAGAAAGCAACCGCAUACCAAGGAUAAUUAUAAGAAGAAGAGAAGACAUGGAGAAGAGGAGGGAGUAGUUGUGACCGUGGAGGCAGAGAAUGGAGUAAUGUGAUCAUAAAUCAAGGAAUGCUGACAGCCACUAAAGCUGGAGAAGGCCAAGGACAGAUAUUCAAUCCUCCCGUAGAAGUACAGCCCUGCUAAUGCAUUGAUUUUGGACUUCUGGCCUCAGAACUGUAAGAGAAUAAAUUUCUAUUGUUUUAAGCCUUCA